CAAGUAUGAAAGACGGUUGCGAGUCCAUUGGACUCGAGGAAAGUCCGAGCUCCAUAGGGCAGGAUGCCAGAUAACGUCUGGCGAGGGUGACCUUAGGGAAAGUGCCAUAGAAAAGGAAACCGCCACGUCAGUGGUAAGGGUGGAAAGGUGAGGUAAGAGCUCACCAGCAGUCUGGUAACAGGCUGGCUCGGUAAACCCCAUC
rnacentral:RNase_P_RNA from 1 species